AUUGGUACUUACUAUAUGAUUAUGCUUCAUAAUUUUGCAAGUGUGUUUAUAAAAGUCAAAUAGAGUGAUACGCAAAAGGAGGCAUGAACUAUGAUGAUUUUAAAAAAUAAAUAAAAAAUUGAUGGGAUUUGAGGUAAAUUUAGUUUAAACAAAUUGAUGGGUCCAUAUCAUGCUUUAGUGAUUGUUUUGUUUCACAAAUAAUAUCUGCAUAGUAGACUUAGGUAGAUUUGAAUUCCUCUCAACACGAUGUCAUACUCUCGGCAUAGCGUUAGAAGAAAACUUGGGGUUAAUCUAAUAAAAGGAUAUUUUGGUAAAUAAAAGUUUAGGUCCAAUCAAUCAAACUCAAAUGAGAAAAGAGCACAAUGAGAUAUGGAUUUUAUUUCAAAUUCCGUCGAAGUAAAAGAAAAGAGUGAAAAAACAUUGAUGAGAAAUCGAGGUAGACUGCGAUUCAUUUCAAGACCCAUUAUCGAAAGAAAUACUUGAAAGAGCUUCAAGGGCUCUUGAUCUAAAUUCAAAUGAAGUUAGAAGUAACAAAUCGGAAAGUGCUGCUAACGAUAGUCAAUUUUCAUAAAUUUCAUCUACAAUAUUCAAGUUGGAUUGAUAGAGUUUAAGUACGGUAGAUGUUUGUUUACGCACGAAAAAGUUAGGAACGAUUCACAAAUGCCUCAAAAGACGUGAGACAUAUUGGAGUAAAAAGUAUCCUGGAGAGCUACAAAACAAGAAUAAAGAAAGAACAAAAAAGUAUUUGCUCUACUGUUUUUUCAGGGGAGUUCUUGGACACUUCGAUUAUAUAGGUUAUUGUGGUUGAGCUUGAGUCUGGCAUAUACUUACGAUGAUGGAUGCUUAAGAAAGUUGAAGCGACGGAAAAGUCAGGGCUUUAGAAAUUAGAGAUACACACCAACGAAGAUAGUUUUAUUUUCACUUUUGAAUCAACUGUUAAUGUCAACUUAUUUCUUGUAUGCACAAGUCCACUCCUUAAGCUACUUACCCAUUUUCUCUUUAGGUCUUGACUUGUGAUGGAAAUCUAGGAUGACACACGAGGAAGAUGAAAAAAGAAGCUGGAGAAGAAAUUUUCUGAAAGAGAGGACUACCAAAAUUUGUAGUAGAAAUAUUCAGUUGAGUUUUUGCUUUUAGUCUUAGUUAUGAAGUUUAAGGUCGUCUUUUAGCUUAUUUUUUUAACUGCUUUACAAUGUAAUGAUAUCUAAUAUCUUUGGGUUUUACCCUCAAUUUUAGCACAGAACUCAUUCAUUAAAAUCAAAAUCGAGGUUACCUGAAUUUUUUAUUUCUUCCUUUCUCAAAAAAUUGUUAAAGAACAUCAUUUUAUAAAUUUAUUGAUGAUGUA